rnacentral:rRNA from 1 species
GAUGAACGCUAGCUACAGGCUUAACACAUGCAAGUCGAACGGAGCACCCCUGAAGGAGUUUUCGGACAACGGAUGGGAAUGCUUAGUGGCGGACUGGUGAGUAACGCGUGAGGAACCUGCCUUCCAGAGGGGGACAACAGUUGGAAACGACUGCUAAUACCGCAUGAUGCGUUGGAGCCGCAUGACUCCGACGUCAAAGAUUUAUCGCUGGAAGAUGGCCUCGCGUCUGAUUAGCUAGUUGGUGAGGUAACGGCCCACCAAGGCGACGAUCAGUAGCCGGACUGAGAGGUUGGCCGGCCACAUUGGGACUGAGAUACGGCCCAG